GAUGAAGAACGUAGCGAAAUGCGAAAAGUAAUGUGAAUUGCAGAAUUCAGUGAAUCAUCGAAUCUUUGAACGCACAUUGCGCCCGCCAGUAUUCUGGCGGGCAUGCCUGUCUGAGCGUCAUUUCAACCCUCAUGCCCCUAGGGCGUGGUGUUGGGGAUCGGCCAGCGCCCGCGAGGGACGGCCGGCCCCUAAAUCUAGUGGCGGACCCGUCGUGGCCUCCCCUGCGAAGUAGUGAUAUUCCGCAUAGGAGAGCGACGAGCCCCUGCCGUUAAACCCCCAACUUUCUAAGGUUGACCUCAGAUCAGGUAGGAAUACCCGCUGAACUUAAGCAUAUCAAUAGCGGAGGA
rnacentral:misc_RNA from 1 species